rnacentral:rRNA from 1 species
ACGGCGAGUGAAGAGGGACUAGCUCAAAUUUGUAAUCUGGCUCUUUCAGAGUCCGAGUUGUAAUCUCGAGAACAGUUUUCCGUGUUGGACCUUGUAUAAGUCUGUUGGAAUAUAGCUUCGUAGAGGGUGAGAAUCCCGUACAUAACAAGGACUACCAAUGCUUUGUGAUACUGUCUCUAAGAGUCGAGUUGUUUGGGAAUGCAGCUCAAAUUGGGUGGUAAAUUCCAUCUAAGGCUAAAUAUUGGCAAGAGACCGAUAGCGAACAAGUACCGUGAGGGAAAGAUGAAAAGCACUUUGGAAAGAGAGUUAACAGUACGUGAAAUUGUUAAAAGGGAAACGAUUGAAGUCAGUCUUGUAGCUUUUCGUUCAACCGCAAGGUGCAUUCGGAUUGCAACAGGCCAGCAUCAAUUUCAGGUGUCGGAUAAGGGUAUUGGAAACGUAGCAACCUUGGUUGUGUUAUAGUCCUUUGCUUGAUACGAUGCUAGGGAUUGAGGAACGCAGUGAGC